UAAGGCCUUACCACCCUGAACGCUCCGGAUCUCAUCUGAUCUCAGAAGCUAAGCAGGGUUGGGCCUGGUUAGUACUUGGAUGGGAGACAAAUGCGGUGGAGAAAUGGGUCUCAGGUUGCAAACUUAA
rnacentral:rRNA from 1 species